rnacentral:rRNA from 1 species
CAAGUCGAACGAGAGAUGAGGAGCUUGCUUUCAGAUCGAGUGGCGAACGGGUGAGUAACGCGUGAGGAACCUGCCUCAAAGAGGGGGACAACAGUUGGAAACGACUGCUAAUACCGCAUAAGCCCACGGCUCGGCAUCGAGCAGAGGGAAAAGGAGUGAUCCGCUUUGAGAUGGCCUCGCGUCCGAUUAGCUAGUUGGUGAGGUAAUGGCCCACCAAGGCGACGAUCGGUAGCCGGACUGAGAGGUUGAACGGCCACAUUGGGACUGAGACACGGCCCAGACUCCUACGGGAGGCAGCAGUGGGGAAUAUUGCACAAUGGGGGAAACCCUGAUGCAGCGACGCCGCGUGGAGGAAGAAGGUCUUCGGAUUGUAAACUCCUGUUGUUGAGGAAGAUAAUGACGGUACUCAACAAGGAAGUGACGGCUAACUACGUGCCAGCAGCCGCGGUAAAACGUAGGUCACAAGCGUUGUCCGGAAUUACUGGGUGUAAAGGGAGCGCAGGCGGGAGAACAAGUUGGAAGUGAAAUCCAUGGGCUCAACCCAUGAACUGCUUUCAAAACUGUUUUUCUUGAGUAGUGCAGAGGUAGGCGGAAUUCCCGGUGUAGCGGUGGAAUGCGUAGAUAUCGGGAGGAACACCAGUGGCGAAGGCGGCCUACUGGGCACCAACUGACGCUGAGGCUCGAAAGUGUGGGUAGCAAACAGGAUUAGAUACCCUGGUAGUCCACACCGUAAACGAUGAUUACUAGGUGUUGGGGGAUUGACCCCUUCAGUGCCGCAGUUAACACAAUAAGUAAUCCACCUGGGGAGUACGACCGCAAGGUUGAAACUCAAAGGAAUUGACGGGGGCCCGCACA